rnacentral:lncRNA from 1 species
AGUGAGGUCAUCAUUCCUUUCAGGAAGUUGAGUGAGGCCUGAGACAGCAAUGUUUCGUUUAGCCUGGCGGCGGCCCUCCUUGUCUUCGAGAAGAGCAUCCGCGGCUAGCAGUGGAAGAUGGGGUUGGGCCCCAGGAGGGAGACACAGUUCUGAUUUCUCGCAGAUGGUCACAGGAAUGAGGAAAGAAUGACUCUUUGGCUCCUAGCAGCAGAACCUUAACUGAGUGUGACUUAGCAUCCUUCUUCUUGCCGUGUCAUCUCUCUUCUCAGGGCAGAAGAUAUUUACUAAUUAGCACAUUCUGCUAGCACGUCUGUGGGAAGAGAGAUGCAGUCUUACUGUGUUGCCCAGGAUGGUCUCAAACUCCUGGCUACAAGCUAUCCUCCUGCCUCUGUCUCCCAAAGUGCUGGGGUUACAAGCGAGAGCCACCAGGCCUGGCCUAAUUGCUUCUUAACAACUUACUAUUCUUUGUUCACUACAGUGUAUACAUAACUGACUGUUUCUUUGGAGCUUCAUUUUGUAAUGAAGGCUCUGGUCACGUGUAAAACUUGUAUUAAAUAAAUUUGCAUGCUUUUCUCCUGUUAA